rnacentral:rRNA from 1 species
UACGUAGGGUGCGAGCGUUGUCCGGAAUUACUGGGCGUAAAGAGCUCGUAGGUGGUUUGUCGCGUUGUUCGUGAAAACUCACAGCUUAACUGUGGGCGUGCGGGCGAUACGGGCAGACUGGAGUACUGCAGGGGAGACUGGAAUUCCUGGUGUAGCGGUGAAAUGCGCAGAUAUCAGGAGGAACACCGGUGGCGAAGGCGGGUCUCUGGGCAGUAACUGACGCUGGAGGAGCGAAAGCGUGGGGAGCGAACAGG